ACUUCUUGGAAUAGAUCCUAAAUUGGUCUGACUCUCAAACCAGUGUUUUAAAAAUACUACUCUAAACUGCUUCCUUGGGAUAUGGCAAUGUUUCAGGAAAGAGGCACUGGCCUUUACUUCUCCACCUCGAUUCACUUCCAUGCUGUUGACAAAUGUUAUAGUUGCCCAGGAUCAGAGGGAGAGACUGACCCUGUGACCAUUUCCCCAAAGGCGGCCUUUGGCCACUCCGUGCACUGGAGCACAUGACCCUCUGCCUCGCCCCUGCCACAUUAACCAGGUGACUGUCUGCCAAGGCCCAGCCCAGUCCAAAGGGAAUUGGGAUUCAGUGUCCCAAACAAGGCACUGAUUAGCUGGUAAUCAGGCAGCGAUUAGCAGGUCGGGUCACCUGCAGUUCAGUGCCCAUUGUUCCCAGCAAAGUCCUGGGAUAUUUGCCACACGGCUGGCCAGUCUGAAUGUCUGAGGAUUCCGAUGCCUGCAGCUCUGCUGUGGAGAUGUGUGAUUAGGAACAAAUCCUCUGUUCUCUAAGCCCAUCCCCCCAAGGAGGCAGUGCAGUGUGAAUAGUGAAUCCCCUUCUCUAUUCACACACAAAGGUUUGGGGAGAAGAAUGGCCUGCUUAGGAGCUCAACAGUGACAGAGAGGUGAGGCCCCAAGGAUGCACUGAAGAACUGAAAGCAAAUUAGCACAUUCCUCUUCCUGCACCAUGAUGACUGAGAGUGGAGGAACGGGCAAGCCCACAUCCAGACUGGGAUUCUACUGUGAUCUUGAGAUGUGACCUUGGACAAGAUUUUUAACCUCUGAGCUUGUUUACCUUGAUUUUGAGAGUUUAAUAACACUUGCCUCUUCAGCCUUUGAAGUUCAGAUUUAGAAAAUGAACAUAAAGCAGUUACUACAGUCUCUGUAGCGUGUGACCAAUACAUGCUAUCACCGUUAUCAUCGGUCAUAGUAAUAUCAAUAUUUAAAAUAUCAUAAUUAUUUGAAAUACUUUAUUUAAAAUAUGCCUCUGUAACAUCACUUCUAAAUGAGAGAUAGCCCCUUUGUAGGAGGCCAUGAUAAGGAUGAGAUGAGAAUUCUUGUAAAGCUUUCAUCACAGGGCCUAGCAAGUAAUUAGCACUUAAUAAAUCAUAGUAACAAUGGUGAUCACCAUCAUUAUUGUUUGUACAAAGUUGAAUGGAAAAGACUAUUUUGUAGCACUUUUCACUGUAUUGUAGCAUGUGAUCAUGAAAAUUUAGACAAAGCAUAAUUUUUCGAGCUAAAAGGAGAUUAAUGAAAUUAUUCAUGGCACAUUCACACCAUUGGACACUGUUCAGCUUUAUAGUCUAUGUGCCCUUCCACCACCUGGAGAUCUUGCUAAAAUUCUCAUUUGGUAAAUCUGGGGUCAGCCCAAGAUUACGCAUUUCCAGUGGAUUCUCAAGUGAUUCCAGGGCUACCUGUCCAUGGACUCCACUUUGAGUAAACAGGAUGUACACUUUUACAAUAAAAAAUGUGUAUAUGCAUUUAUACAGAAAUAUAGAAAAAUAUUCCUAGGCUAUACUCAAGAUGGGGGACAGUGUUUUUCACCCCCUUCGCUAAACUGUACUAUCUUUCCCAGAAAUUUAAUAACAAACAUGUAAAAACAUUUAAAAAUGCAAUAAAUUUUAUUGAUGC
rnacentral:lncRNA from 1 species